rnacentral:misc_RNA from 1 species
GAUGAAGAACGCAGCGAAAUGCGAUAAGUAAUGUGAAUUGCAGAAUUCAGCGAAUCAUCGAAUCUUUGAACGCACAUUGCGCCCCCCGGCAUUCCGGGGGGCAUGCCUGUCCGAGCGUCAUUGCACCCCUCGAGCCCGCGCGGGCUCGGUGUUGGGCCGCCGUCCCCCCCGGGGGAUGGGCCCGAAAGGCAGUGGCGGCCCCGGGGCGACUUCCCGCGCGAUCGCAUCGCCUCGCGGCCGAAGCGUCCGCCCCCGCGGGCCCGCCUGUUCCGCAGCAGCGACGUUGACCGGUUUGACCUCGGAUCAGGCAGGGAUACCCGCUGAACUUAAGCAUAUCAAUAAGCGGAGGA